rnacentral:rRNA from 1 species
AUUGAACGCUGGCGGCAGGCUUAACACAUGCAAGUCGAGCGGAGCGAGGGUGCUUGCACCUUAGCUUAGCGGCGGACGGGUGAGUAAUGCUUAGGAAUCUGCCUAUUAGUGGGGGACAACAUUCCGAAAGGGAUGCUAAUACCGCAUACGCCCUACGGGGGAAAGCAGGGGAUCUUCGGACCUUGCGCUAAUAGAUGAGCCUAAGUCGGAUUAGCUAGUUGGUGGGGUAAAGGCCUACCAAGGCGACGAUCUGUGGCGGGCCUGAGAGGAUGAUCCGCCACACUGGGACUGAGACACGGCCCAGACUCCUACGGGAGGCAGCAGUGGGGAAUAUUGGACAAUGGGGG